ensembl:processed_transcript Gm13645 predicted gene 13645
AGUUUCUUCUUCUUCUUCUUGGUGGGGGAGUAGUCGCUACCUUCGCUCUCUGACUUCUCUUCCAGGUCCUCCUCGUUUUCUGACAUCUCGUCAUUGCUCCCCUGGAAAAGACAAGGGGAGCGGUGAGGGCACAGGACACCCCAGAAUGCCGAAGACCUGGGGCAGCAAGGCCUGGUUAAGUUACUCGGCCACCAACUUUCUUCACCCAUUGUGCACUGGUGAAGGAGCACAGGCAGAGUAGAGAACUUCCAAUGAAGCAACAUCCCAUCAAUUAGCUGAGGUUGGACAUGUCACCAAUCAAUUAUUGUCGCUGAGGUCUUCCCUGCAGUCCAGCUGGGACAACCCCACCCAUAGGCUCUCUUAGGCUCUCCCGGAAGCUCAGCUCAGUCUCCCUCAUAGAAGACUGCACCUGUCACCUGCUAAUCUAAUCGAUCACCAAGUCAGCACGCUGACAAGGUCUCCUUGCUUUCUCAGAAUACUGACUCUGCCCUGGACCCAAGGGGCAACUCCCAGCCUCCACACCUGUCGGUAACAUGGAACCCCAUAGCCACAGUUCCCAGUGGAAUUCAGACUGGGACAGUCCCUUCCCCCAAGGUAACAGAGACCAGCCAGCUCUUCAAGAUCAUGUCCAAGAGAGAGAGAGAGAGAGAGAGAGAGAGAGAGAGAGAGAGAGAGAGAGA